UCCUGCAUUGCAGGUGGAUUCUUUACCAGCUGAGCUAUCAGGGAAGCCCAGUGAAGCACCAAAGUAAGAACUAUUAAGAAAGCGAAAGAAAUAAAAGUAGAAAGAAACUGAGAUGAAACCAGCAGAUGACUCACACACUCCAUACAUAAAGGACUCCUGCAGGACAGACGGGCUAAACCCCCUGGAGCGUGCUUUGGAAAAGAAAAGCCCCAUCGCCAAUAAACUCACGAAGAGGUGUUCAACCCCGGGACGACCUGAAAUGUGCAGAUACAGAGCAGCGAGCCAUCACGAUACGCGUACCAGAAGCACUGAGGCACGUGUGAUCCUGGCUUCCUGAUCAAGGAUGAAACUUGCAACCCCUGCCUUGGAAGGUGAAGUCUUGACCACUGGACCUCCAGAAUGAAUUUGAGCAGCCUGGAGGAAAAUUCCAGAACAGGAGCUCCAGCGCCAAUAUCCCGAAUGGCACAUGAGCUGAUACACUGAGUAAAAUAAUGCCUCAGAAAAGUAAGAAUUUUGAAAACUAAUUCAUGAAACAAUUUUGCCUAAAAUAGAUUUUUGUGUCUUAAAAUGCAUAGAAGUGAUAGUAUGUAUGUCAAUUAUCUCUAAAAGCGGUUUUUCAGUAACGCAAAACAAAUACUCCUAGGAAACAAAACAAAGGCAUGAAAGGAAUUUAUCUCAGAGGUAAAAAGAAAACAGAAUCUAUUCUAAGGAUGAAUGUUUACUGCAGUAUUAAUGACAAGACAGAAAUUCUGAAGGCAACUAAAUGUUUGACUACAGUGCAAUUAUGACGACAUGUAAUAUCAAGGUAGCCAUUUCAAAAUGUUAUUAAAAAUGCUAAC